AUCUCUGUCUACCUGAGGCCUUCUAAAGGUAAGCAGCUCUUUUCCUUCAUUUUUGCAUCUAUGGCUGCUGUGUUUAGGCUUGUUCUCAUUUGCUGUAGCCAAAGACUUUGCCACCCUGCUAUUGUCAUCUCACUGUUGCAUCACACUUCUGCACUGUGAAUCUGUUUCAUAUCAGAAGUGCGAUAAGAAGUUUCCUUCCUCUCUGCAGGAAUGUCGAUGAAUUUUCUUGUGUCGCUGAGGUCCACAGGACUGCUAAGUUCCUUUCUUCGGUGUAGAUGUUCAUAACAGAUGUCCUUACACAACUCAUGGCAUCCUCUGCUUAUGUGGCUGCAACUGCUAAUGCCCCAGCAGCUGACCCACUGGCUCAGUGGCCAUUAUUGCUUCAUCGGAGGGUUUGCAAAGGUUCACAAAGAUCUGCACUGCUGUCCCUGUAUUUGUGCAUUCCUCAGACUGGGCCUCAACUUCUUCCAGUUCUCCUACACAAAGCAAACAUCUGCACAAAUGCCAGCAGGGCAGAAUCGGGUUUCCUCCCCUUCUUCACAGUUGUUUGGAAAAGCAGCUGAUGGUGUUAGUGGAAUCAGAUGUUCUGUGAGCCUGGGGAGCAGAGGCUGCACUGUGACCCUCUGUUCUGUAACCACCAAACAGGCACCGAUUAAAUUCUGUUAGCUGUGUUCUAGGGAGGUUUCUUUGAAAUGAAAUCAGAGCUGAAUGAUACAGGAGUUGAUGUAGUUCAUAUUUGUUUUAAUCUCAAAAACCAUGGUGUGUUUUUGUUGUUGCUGCUGCUUUUGUGGGAUGGAAAGUUCAAAUAAGACUCAGGAAUGUCUCUAUUUAGGUGACGUGUUUCAGUAUUUAUGGAAUCAAUAGCAGUUUGUUCCUUGAAAUGCAUUCACAAUCAGUGUUCAGCUUAAGCCUUUUCCCCUGGAGCUGCACCUUCUGGUUGGUGCUUCAGAACUUGAGUCUGCAAGUGUCAGUGUCCCCAGGGAGAGGGCAGCAACUCCCAGCGUGGUGACCCACACAUCUGCAUUGUAUUAGGGGAAAUACAAUCCCACUGGCAGCUCUUCAGCUCCAACACUGCACACCAGUGAGGGGAUGCAGUGCAGUGUUUGCUGAAACCAAUGCUUAACAGUAUUUCAGACUAAUAAUAACAUUAUGAAAUGAAAUAAGUUGCUUUCAUUAUCUUAGCAAGCAAAUGAACAUUUUCUACAUUGUGUGGAAACCAGCUUUCUGCCCUAAAGCCCUCCAACAGAAGACCUGCACCCAGGCCAUGGCAGGAUGUAGCCAUAGAGGGGGGCAGGGCUGGGCAGGGGCUGUGUUUGGUAUGCAGGGGGGCUGAGCUCCAGCACAGGAAGGUUUUGUGGCUGCAGUGGCAGGGAGACCAUCAUGGGGUCUCAGGUGUAGAUGUCUGAGCCUGCUGAGGGUGCUGGGAGGUUUGGCAGGGCAGAGUGCUGCAGCUGUGCUGAAUGUCCUGUCCUUGAUGUCACAAUGCAGGGCUCUGGCUCACUCUGAUGCUGACUCGGAGCUGAUUGAACUAAAUUGGUUAUCGUGGCUCUGCUAUUAGCACAAAGGCCACUGCUAACCACUGUAAGGUUAGCUGCUGUUUGCUGCCUCAGGUGUUUGUGUUGACAGCAGAGAGCAGCUCUGCUCUCCAGAAGCAGUCUGUUCUGGCUCAGGAUGUAGGUACUGAAUGUUUGAAAUACAGAUAUUCCCCAUUGGAAGAAAUCUGUUCUAUUUCAUAGUUCACUUUGAGUAAUGUAGAAUAUUGCAUAUGCUGGUGGCCCACCCUUGUGCUCUUUGCAGUCCUUGCACACUGCCAUGGCUCUGGCUGGCAGCCAUUGGGGCAGCCUCACUGUGUCCAUCCCAGCGAGCUGAAUUCAGCGUGAAAUACAGAACAAAGCCUCAAUCUGGUGGUGCUGCUGGGAAACACUGGCUGCAUUUUUAACAUAUACCGUAUUGUAGUGGUGAAUGCUUAAAGUCCUUCCCGUUGUCCAUGGCUAUUUCCCUCUGCACUGAAGUUGUCCUGAGAUCCUGUGUUGGAAUGAGCAGCAUGCAGAGAUCUAAGACACAGUAAACUAGGCCUAUGUGAUUGUGCAUGUCUUUAGAAAGGUAUAAAAACUUACUGAUAAUGCCAUGGAGUUUUCCUCUCUUUUGCCCUUUCACAUGUGAAUGGCAAACCCAAAUGGAACCCCAAAAAUGCCUUCUGUACCAUUUUUGUAGGAGAGAAAAAUGGUAUUUUGCUGAUUCCAAAGAGAAAUGCUUGUGAAACUGUACCUGCAGUAAAUAGAAAUAUGACUGCAUACUGAAAUCAACCCCCCAGUAACAAUAUCAGGCCAGAGCUGGUACGCAAAGUAGUCCUCAUAGAGACAAAAUCAGACAGAUGGGAAACAUUACACCAGUUUUUCCUCAAGGGUAGCACUUAAGUAGUUCUCCACUUACAGAAAGGAGUCAUAGCAGGUUUGUAUCAAAGUAACUUCAGCUAAAGUUAUUUCUCUAAAAGGAGAUAAACAUCUCUUUUGGAAUUUCACUGGAAAGCUUAUCAGAUAUGAUAAAUAUGGCACAGGAGUAACAAGAGCCUUCAAAAGAUGCUCUUUGUCCCUGGACCCUUCUGUGGGGAACGCUGUGUCCUGAGGGGAUGCUGGAACAGCAGUUGCCUGUACAAAGUGCAGAAGCAGAUGUAUUCAAGUUACUGUAUUAAAUAAGUGUGCUGAUCACGGUAAUGCACCCUGUGCUGGGCACCAGCAUCUCCAGCCCCGCACCCAAAGGGUUUCACUGCUCAGCCCUUGUCCCUCCACUCCUCAGGAAGCAGCCAGAGUGAAGCGAAAGGAAGCAAAUGUCUCUGUGUUCCAGCUGAUGCUUUAAGGAUGGGCGGUGAGCAAGCAGAACAUGCUGGGUUGCACCAGGCCACAGCUUCUGCUGUGCACCUUCACCUGGUCCAGCUGCUGGAAGCCAUGCAGGCAAAGCAGGAGUCCUGCAGGGGGCUGAGAUGGGGCCAGCAGAUACACACCACCGCCUCCAAGCCCCCAGCACCACAGCAGUGAACUGCUGAGCCUCCAUGAUGCCUCUGGCUCAGCAGGACCUUGGGGCAGCAGCCUCUUCCCAGCCUCACAUCAGCCCAAAGAGAUGGGAUGAUACGUUGGCAAAAAAGAUGAGCUCAGCAGAAAGGGCAAAGAACGUGGUGAGCUUUCUGUAUUGACUUUGCCUUGCUCUUAAGAAAAAUGCCCUGAGAUCAAUGAGCCCUAAUGCAUCAGCUUUAGCAGAACAAAGUGUCAGCCAGAUACAUUCUAGGAAAAAGAAAGGGGAAGCAUCUAAAUGCCAAAACAGUCCAGUUGAGCUGUGUUCCAUUUCCCUUUUCUCACUGCAAAUGUGUGGCUCUCCUCACAUUCAGCCACAGCACAGAGCUGGGUUUAUGGCUGGGCACAGCACAGAGCUGGGUUUAUGGCUGGGCACAGCAUGGAGCUGGGCAGCCUUUCCUGCAGUGAGAUGCUUUCCUGGCAGGAUUCAGUCCCACCGACUGUGGUGAGGUGAGGUCGGGGUGAUGGAAACAGGGCAGCAGCCAGCAGCUCUCUGCUGUCAGCCUGACCAGCGCUACUGUUAGGAUUUGUCUCUGAUGCCCACAAGGCCUCUGCUUGCUUUUCAAACGUACCUUCAUAGUCUUAAUUAAACUGACACUCAAAUUCUAAGCAAAACUGCUACAAAUGUUAGCCUUGCUUUUUUUGUGUGCUGCCGUUUUAUUUGUUACUGGCUUUCCGUUCCAAGUCUGCCGUUCUCUGGUUGGAGCCUGUACUGUACAUGAAGGGAAAGUGAAUGGAAUGCAACCCACAGCAACGUCCAUUAAUUCUUGUGGGGAAGGGCUUUUGGACUGAGAAGUAUAAGAACCUACUUGAGUGUGUAUUUGAACGUCUGUUCCAUUGUCUGGACAGUGGUGAACUUGGUAAAGCAGGUGACUUCUGGAGGUGGCAGCCUGUGGCUCAGCCCCAUUGCACCGCCGUGAGGCCAGGAGUUCUCAGCCACAGCCUGGGAGCUCAAGAGGUGCCAGCCCAGCUGCUGGCACACAGAUGUGUUUAAUUCAAUAGGAAAGAGACGUGACUCUUUAUCUUGAAGAUGACAUACAGCACAAGGAAACUUGCCAACAAGGGAAUAGUGUGAAAAUGAAGAUGAAAUGGACUGGAGUCCCGACUUGCACAGUCUAAAGGGCGGCCAAACUGAGGGAAAUUGUGCAGGAAUAUUUAGACACUUCUAGAAAGACAUGUUGUUUUUUUCCCCAGCCUCUGUCUGUUCAACAACUAAAGCAGCUGGACGAGUUACCUAGAAAUGUUGGACCUUGGGAAAGGCCCGUGAGGCACAGCUGCUGCUGUUUGCUGCUUCAGGUGGUUCCCACUCUGAAAGGUUUUUGAGGUUCACCCAAGCAUGAAAAUGGGUCUGAUAGUACCAGGGAGGGCAACUGGGAAGACAAACCCUAGGAGGGAGUGAGAAAAGCAGCAGGGAAUUUUACGUGUUACAUUUGUGCCAAGGGAAGGGAAGGGUGCACAAACGUACCAACCUGAAGUAGCUUCUUGUAGACUUCUGGACUUAAGCUUACGCCUAAUACAACACUUCUUGGCUUUGAGCUUCAGAAGGAAGUUGCAGAUUAAAGAGCUGAGGUACAGGCAGCCUUUGUGACGCUCUGUAUCACAGCAUUAGGUAUGAAUUACAGAAUGCAUUGCAUUGAGCUUCUUUAGUCACACAAAGGUUUUAUUUUUUUAAUCUGGUAAAAAUACAGCAGAAAUGCUGUGUUCCUGCAUUCCCCUUCCAACUUCAUUGUCCUUCUGCUCUUGCUGUGGCUGUACACAGAGGUUUCUCGGUUGUCCCAUUAGCAGAGCUCGCUGCAGGGCCCGGCCGUGCCCCUUCUGCUGCCAUUUCAGCUCUUUCCACUGUAUGGCACCAGAACAAUGUGAGUUAUCUGGGGCUGCAAUCUCUACAAGGCUUCAGGGAAAAUACUUUUUAAGGAAAUAAAUUCCACGGCCGGCCCAGAAGUGCCUCUGUGAUGAACUCCUGUUUUUUCCUUUGUCCCAGUGGAAGGCAUAGCCAGGUGCACAUCAAGGUACGGCUGCAGUAGCUCAGUACUGGCAGAGGCACAAAGUGCUGGCUGUUUCUCUGCCCCGAGCUGCAGCAGCACCGCAGGGGGAGGCAGGAACGGGCCCUGCUGGUGCACGAGGGCAGGAGAGACCGAGCUCUGCUUAACAGCGGGGAGCUGGAUUCCCGGCCUUGUUGCAGGCUGCGCUGCAGGCGGCCGCUCCACCUGUAGGCGGCAGCGGAUGAUCGCGCGUGGGGCUGAGCGCACACCGUACGUGGAGACCCGAGGGGCCGAGUGCUGGACGCGCGUGUCUCAUCGCUUUGAUGUGCCGCUCUUCUGCACGGGUCCGUGGAGAUGAAUAAAAUAAUCCUUUGGGGCAACGCGCUGCAGGUCAGGAACGUGCUCACAUGAAGCGAAGGCUGAGGUGAUCGAAAAGUGCUGUGUGCGUUUGUUUUCCUUCCGGCUCAGGAGCAGCACUGGACGGGACUCACCUCCGUGCAUGGGGACAACGAAAAUCAGAACGUGCUUGAAGUAAAAAAAAACUGCGAAUAGGGAGAUUUUUGCAAAGCCACUCGUUUAUCUGGGCGAGACGUUCAGACCAGAAGUGAGGGGUUAAAGCACUCAAGCAAACGGCUGCAGCAGUGGAGCAGCCGUUCAGUGUCAGCUCCCAGCAGCACAGUUUGGGGUGCAGUGGGAUUUAUCAGUACAGAUGAGCACAGAUCUGUGCUCCUGGAUCGUGCCUUCCUGCCCAUCUAUUGCCUGGAACUUAAACCCACACGUUCCUUCCUCUUGGUGGGUGCAAAGUUUGCCGCGUUCUGUCAAGCCUGCAGUGAAUACUUAUGGGCCACAGAUGGACGCCUCAGCUGAGUGGGGAGAUGUGUCCUGUAAUUCAUGCUGCUUGUUCACAGCUGAUCCUAAAGGAGCUGACAUAAGGGCACCGAGGAGCAGGGUUUGGCAGAAACGCACUCCCUGCAUUUCUGACUGACGGGGUUUGUGCUGAGCAGUAACUGUGGCAGAGACUGAAAUGUUGGAGAGGUUUGUACUCGAGCCUGCUUUUAACUAUUGGUGGCACUGACUGUGGGGCUGCAAUCAGUGCAUGCUUUUAGCUUGAAUUUUCACUUCUUCAUUCUGGAAGGAAGAAUGGGAGAAAUGUUGUGGGUGCAAAUUCCAUGUGUGUCUCAUGCCAUCUGCGAACAGCACGCGUGAGCUGCUCAACUUCCAGAAACCAGGAACAAACAUAACAUCACUGCAGAGAGAACUGCCCUGCUCCCAAAUGGGGCUCGUACUGCAGGAAGCUGCCACUGGUCCUGAGCACAUUCACCAGUCUUGAGGGUCUGCUGUGCCACAGCUGGAUGCUCAUCCCUCCAAGAACCUGUUUUUUCUCUGCCUUUCAACAGCCUGCAAUGCAGUCAGGAAGCAAAGGAUACUAAGGGACAUUAGCCAAACUGCCAGUGUUACCACAAGGCCUGACGACACGCUGCUGCUGCGCCGGGCAGGACGGGACCAUGGGCUUGUCUGCACUGUCGGAAAACAAGCAGCCGGGAGCAGGCAGGCACAAGCAACCUGCAGAGCUUUGUGACCACAUUUCUUCAGUGUCUGCUGCCCAGUUGGAAAAGAGGUGUGCAGUCCUAGGGACCACAGAGGGAGAUGGGAGCAGCACAGUGGAAGGCAGCUAUACAAAGCCCCACAGAGGAAUCGCAUUUUCCAGCUCCUCAUUUGUUAUCCUAUGUGGUAACGUAUUAAUUCCUUCACUAAACUCUUUUGAUUAUUUUUAUUACCCUCCUGAUGUCACUCUGAAUAUUACUGUUAUCCUUAUAAAUACACAAACCCCUUUCUGAAGAAUUUUAGCCAUCCAACCAACACGCCCUGUGACCUUGAUGUCAGUACACUCAGUUCAUCAGUUGAAUUGAAAAUAAUUGAACUUUGGAUGAAAAAUCCACUAGGUAUCCCUAAGGCUUAUACAUUUGGUAUGGUUUAAGGAGUAAGGUGUAAGUACUUGUACAUAAAAUGAAUAUCAUUCUAACGGGUUUUGUGUUUUCUUAGAUGUUACUUGACAAUUUUGGCAGUACACCUCCAUGCAAAAAACAAAGGUGUGUUUUAUAAACACAUGCCAGGUUAAAGAGACCCAGCACUUGCCUCAGCUGAUUAAUCAGAGGUUCAGGCUGUGAUUACCAAUUUCCCAUACACACCUGCAAGGCAUCCACUGUACUGUAUGGGUCUGCUGGGGGCAGGAGUGGCAGCAGACAAGAGGGCGUGCAAAAUGGGCCCCAGCUGCAGUGUUUGACUGCCUGGAAACAGGAAUGUAUCCAUUCUCCUGCAGUUUAAUGCAAAAACUCCUGAUCCUCAAGAAUACCAGCUGUGAGUUGAUGUCAGUGAAUAGCAAAUAUUCCCCUGACAUCAAUCCAGAUCAUGUUUCAUUGCAGAAGGAUUGUCUUCAAAUAGACUGCCACUGGUUCUAUGUUUAGGACCUACUUUCCAUGCUUGCUGAUAGUGUCCUGCUUCUUUCCAAAGCUACAUAUUCCCCAUGUCUUGGCCAGCUUUGGGCCCAGCCCCGUAAGUCACACUCCUGUGAAUAAGCCUUAUCCAUGAAUGCAGUGAGUCUCAUGUCAUGACAAAAAGCUCUAAUGAAAUGAUGUUCUACAAGCACAAUGAAAAGCCAAACCAAUGAGUACUCAGCUAAGACAGCUGCACGAUAAGCAACUUUUUUACAUUUAUCGCCAAGCCCUAAGACCCCCAAAAUAACCACACAUUGAGUCACCAUCAUGAUGAAGCCAGUUUCUGAAGAUCUACAUAGAUAAUAUGGUUAUUGUUUUCAAUACAUACAUCCUGAAUAGGGCUCUGGAAAUUGGAACCGUGAAAAUAAUUAUGGUGAUGAUAAAUUUAAAAUGCUAUCCAGACGAGAAGCUGAGGAAAUCUCUAGAGAUAUCUUUUGGUGGACUUCAUAAAUCUUAACACCAUUUUUAAUUAAGUAUUAGUUAUUUCAUAAUCCACAUUGCUUAUUUAGCAACUGCUUUGGUAUUGUGUAUGUUAUCCUGGCAACAUACAUUUUUUCCUUAGGCCAGUAUCACAAAACUCCAUUUGGAUCAUCUGUCAUCCCGAAUCUGCCUACGUUGUUAUUCUAUAGCUGCAGAUCUCAAAAUGAUGAGCAAUGCUGGAUAUUCAUCAACCUUAUUUCAAAAAUUGAGUUACUAUGAUGUAAUGAGAUUAAGAAAUUUGCUUGAUGCCAUUAAAUGAAUUAGUAGCCAUACAAAGAUGAGAAAAUAUUUCCCUAUUCCUGGCACUGCUCGUAAUCCACUGGACACAAAGGCCCGAACCACUUCUUACUGCCAUUCGCUGCUGCAGCAAAUCGGUGCACUGAAGGAGGCAUUAAUUCACUCUUCAGGGCUUUUUAAGAAACUUUUAUAUGACUGAAAGAGAACUUCAGAUACUUCAAAGAAGAGAGAAUGAUGGCACUGUCAUGGCACUUCAGGGACUGAAAUUCAGUCUGCAAAAGCCCAUACAAAUUCAAAACAAGGAGGAUGAUAUUUAUGCAGAACUGAUGCUCUGUGCAUAUAGAAGUGUGGGUUUUGGCAGAGCUUGUGAGCUUCAGGAAGCCAUUGAAGGGAAUAAAAUACAAAUACACAGCCAUGACAUUUUAUGAUGUUUCCUUUCUUAGGCCUUUUUGGAGGUUAUCAAAUCCUUGGUGGGUAUUUGGCGUAUGGUUAAGAAAACUCACGAGGAAAAAUGUAAAGGAAACUGAAGCAACCGAUUAUGCACAUUCUGUAGUUUUUGUAGUUAUCUGCUGGGGACUUCUCAGGUCCUUUGCGUUACCAAAAGCAAGUUUUGCAGUCAGAAUGUACAGUCUCCUUAUGAUUUCCACAUAAUAGUGCUGUUGUUCCAGAUGGAUAUCAAUCCAAUUAAGAGCAAAGAAGAUUUGAGCUAUAUUCAGUGGAUUUGGAAUUACCAUUGACACCAAAUUUCUUUGCCUCUGGUGUUUUUUUUCGGCACCCAUACAAGGCGCUAUGUUAAAUUUUAAAAAACUCUUAUAAAUAUAAAUAUGGAGGAAAACUCUGCUCGAUUGUUCUCUUCUUGUUUUAGAACCUUUGAAAAUAAGCUUAUAAUUCUAACACAUCAUUAAUGUCCAUCCUUCCAAGAUAUUCUGGAAAUUUCUCUUUGCAACACAACAUGGAGGAGGCUGAGGAUAAGUGGCUGCAAGUUUACACUUUGUAAGAGAUGUGAUGUGAGCUUGUAAUUCAGGUUCUGUGUCAUCUGUGGGAAAAACCAUAGAAUGCUCAUCUCUCCUCGUUGCACACACCCAGAUGUGGUAUCAGAUUCUGAUCUCUUUAAUCAUUAGAACUUUUCGUUAUUAUUUGAAUCAGCAUGCUGUCUGGGGAGAUUGAUUGCAGAACAGAGUGUUACUAUGCUGUGUUCCCAUCUCCUUCUGCUCUGCUCUGGUAAAUGCCUGAGAGACUGGCUUCGGUUAUUAUGUGAUAUUCCGUGUAAACCUGACUUCAUAAGUAGAUGCAGGACUCUCUGGCAGUCAUGCUCCAGAAAAAGGGGACAGACUCAUUAACAGGAUCUGUUGUGACAGGACAAGGGGAAAUGGUUUUAGACUGAAAAAGGGCAGAUUUAGAUUGGAUAUGAGGAAGAAGUUUUUAUAAUACGGGUGGCGGGGCACUGGCACAGGUUGCCCAGAGGGGAGUGGGUACCCCAUCCCUGCAGAUGGCCAAGGUCAGGCUGGAUGGGGCUCUGGGCACCUGAUGGAGCUGUGGGUGACCUCAUUCACUGCAGGGGAGUUGAACUAGAUAAACUGUUUAAGUGUCUCUUCCAACUCAAAUGAUUCUAUGAUUACAGAGUCAUAUAAUCCAUCCAUCCACUAUCCGGUACAGAAAAGGUAUUUUGACUUUUGUAAAAAGUUUCAGUUAGUGCAGAAUGUGAAUUUUGUGUAACAUGUUUGUGGGAAAGAGAAAAAAAAAGGGCCAGGAAACCAAUUGUGGCUUAUCAGUGUCCCAUAUGACACAGCAGCAAUACAUCUGUCAAAAAUUACUCAGAACCUAAAUAUGUAGAAGUUCCCACACACCUUUAUUUAUCUAGCCCUAAUCUUUGCUCUUGAAUGUGUGCUUACCAAAGAAAAAGGGGAAGAAAAGGCAUUGUGUGUAUUUAAGCGAAAUGUGAGGGGCACACACACACUGGUUCACCUUUGAACCUGCGUAUCUCCCAUAUUUCAACCCCAAGUAUUGGCUCAGCUUGAGAUCCAGAGCACAGAUACCAGCACACCAAGCAACCAGGACUUCCUGGGGAGCUGGUUUAAAUAGGCUGUCUGCUUUUAUUAUUGUAGAGUUGCAACUGCUUUAAUGUCCACUGUAACGGCCCUCUCACCUUAGAAAAUCUUUCCACUCCACGUGGAACUCCUUACUCCUGUGCUACAGGUAUGACAUGCAGACAUGCACUGUAGGAACUCAGUGCUGCCAACUGUUCUAUGACUGUGUGGGUUAUUUAAAGUCCCUGACUGGCUCUUUGGAACCUCUGUACAUUUUCUUUUUUUCUUAGAUAACAUCCAGUGUUAAUGAAAAAAAAAAAAACAAUGCCCAGCCAUUAUUUGUGCUGUUAACGAGAGAUAAUAGAUACAUUCUUGCCAGAUAGAAAGAUUAGAAAGGCAUACAGAGUUUAUCAAAGAGAUGUCCAUUUUUACCACUACUGACAUCCGUCUUUACUCAAAAUGAAUUAGAAAUGUAUGAGGGAAUAUGCUGCUGAACUCCAGAAAACCAUUCACGUUGCACUUUUAAUUAGGUUAAAUGGAACCUGAUCCAGAUUCCCCUUUGUUGUUAGACUGGAAUGCUGAAAAUGCUGUAAUCUACUUAUACAUCAAAUGGAAAAAGUUUUCUGUUUCUUUAAAUUUCAUUACAUUACCACGUGUUAACUAAAUAUCCAUUGUUUACAGACUGUUUCAUGUUCAGACGGAGAAAGACACACCAUCUCAAUUUAUUUAUCACAAGGCCAGGAUUUAGUUACUGUCUUUUAAACUAAAUACCAAAACCAGCUCUACUCCAUUUACAACCAUCAAGAUUGGUCAUGAAAUCUUGAGAAGAAAGUUUCUACCAUUAUCAGGUCAGACAAUAAAGAGCAAGAGAGGAAAGGAUUGCAGCCUCAGCUGGUCAUAGGAAUACCUCUAUAGAUUUUGUAAGUUACAACAGAAGGAGAUUUGGGAUGAUGGGAUGUUCACCUCUACAUGCUGAGUGGGUGCAGUGCCACAUUCCCCUUCCUGGGAAACUUUGGAACAACGAGCAGUUUAAUUUCAGUCCUGGAUUUUGAGUGUGUCAUGUAUGACAGAGAUGUUCUGAAAUACUUGGUUGCUUGUCCAUGUAUUUAUAGUUGCUUAUUACCAAAGAUCCUGAGGGACAGAGUUGUCUUAGGAGUGGGUAAAAACAGGAAUACAGAAGAAACAACCGAGAAACAGAUGUUGCCUUCCCUGAAAGUGUCCCAGUGCAUGGGAAUUGCUUCAUAAUCACUUCAAAAUAGAUGGUUUUUAGCAUCAACAGCACGUUGCAGUUCCAAACUGGAUUUGCUGAUCAGGUUUGACUUCGACUUUCUACCUCAAAACCACAAAUUAUUCAAAACACAGCAAAAAGCAAGGCUGAGAACAAUGUAAAUGAGAGCAGCUAAAUCAAACAGAGGAAAACCUCACAGGGGCUUUCACAGCCCAUAGUUAACUUCCUAUUAACAAACAACCCCAGACUGUCCCAUGAAACAGCACUUUUCAGGCAACUGUUCCAGAUUACGCUAUAAUUUGCCUCAAUGAUUUACACAACGCUGUAGGUGUGUGCGGUGCUCUUUGGCACAGUGAACUGAACAGAGGAAAAGUCCUUCCCCUGGCUGCUCCCCACCUGCCAGCACGUCACGUGCAGCACCAGGCAGGAUGGAAAAAGUAAACGUACCUGGCUGCUAAUCUGUGCAAAUAUUCAUGCCACUUUUUGACAUGAUUUAUUUAAGUAAAACACAGCUCUCAUUGGCAUUCACUGGUUUUGUGAUGGAGUUGAAAGGAGUCAGGGUUGCGCUAACAACUGAUGAGAUUUCAUAACAUUGAUGUGUUUCCAUUUGCAAUUGAAAUGUGUUUCCACGUGUGUAAAGGCUUCCAUCUGCUCUCUGUAGUUGGCCAGACUUUUUUUGUUGUAUUAGUUGUUGUAUUUAGUGCCUGCUAUUUUCUAUGGAGAAGACAAUGAACACUGCAAGGACAAAAAAAGAAUAAUUUUGUUAGGGUCAGGAAAAGGAAAUUUCCAUUUAAGACUUUAAGAAGAGCCUGAAGCCAAAUACUGCAACUACUGUUCACUGGUUCUCUUGAUAGUUAGUGGCUUUUAUAAAUGCAAAAAUCCUACUUACUUAUUCAAGUAACUCACUUGCCCUUCCCUACGCCCUUCUUCCCUCCAGCAGACUGUAACCUGGAAUUUGUCUUCCAGCUCUUGCAGUCAAAGUAUUGCAGGUGAAAUUCAAAAGGAGUUGAAAUCCAAAUUACAAUGAAAUCCAAAUUACAAUUGCAUCUCAGCACAGUCUGGGAUUGUUUGUGGUAAUUAAGAUGAGUUCUGAAAGCAAGAAUUUGGAAGUAAGUCUUGCAGCCUAAUGUUACUGGCUUAAUGAACUGUAAAACACACAGUUUACACUGAAAUAAAGGAUUUUCUGAUGUUUUUGAA